UGGAAGGUCGUGGGGAUUUGGAGCUAGCCCACCGCCCCACCGCAUAUAUUUUUCAAUAGAUGCGAGCGGUUUCCGCUGAACGCCGACUAGCGGGCGGUGAUUGGCGGCGUGCUGGACGGCGAUGUGCUCGGCGAAGAAUUCUCAUCGGAUGAUUCCCUCACUCCCCUGUCCAUCUCUCCCUCGUCCUCUCGUGCGACUCGGAGGCCGACAGCGGCAGCGGUGAUGGAGCGUACAACGAUUCUUCACCGGUGACCAAUCCCAAAUCCAUCCCACUGCUCAGUCGGAUAAGGCGCUUGCGACAACCAACAUUCACCGAACCAGAUUUUCCAUUUCCUCGACAGCCGGCUCCGGCACAGGAAUGAAGGUCAUGGUCGGCGCUGCAUAUCCAGAAGCUAUGCCACGGCCGCCUACAGUUCCACCCAGGCUAGCUGAUUUGCAUGCAUGUUUGAUUUCUGAUCUCUUUCCAAUCUGCCCUGUUCAUUCUAUUUUAUACGGUCAUAUUUAUCUAGGCUCUGAGUGCACCAUGUAUCCAUAGUUGCAAAACAAUUCUUGAGAUUUCCUUGGUAAAAUUUCUGGAAUAUUUUAGUUGUACAUAAUAUUGGCUGCGCCAUCAUAACCAUUUGUUUACCCCCUAGUAUAAAAAUACCAAAGUAAGGUUUCUAUACAUACAUACGAGAAAGCAUCUCUUUAAUUAGUAAUUUGCUGGUAGAAACAUCGAUCUGUUAUUACUGGACAUGAAGUAGCUUUUACAAAUGCUAUAGGUAAUUGCGUGGAAAUUGAUCUGAGAAAUUGUUGUCGAGAUAGGUAAUUACUUGAGAACAGUUGCUUUUUAAGAUUUCUUGAGCUUUAUUCCGGAUGCUCAAGUGAAGCAAUUGCUUCUCACUGAAGGGUCUAUUUUUUUCUUGGACGGGUCAGGUUGUUCCUGUUUUCUCUUUAUUCAGAUGUACCUUGGAUUUGUAAAUCGGAAAGUGUGAUGCUCAACGAGAUUCAGGUCGCGCUAAGACAUCAACAAUCAGUGACAAGCCUCCACUAUCUAUUGCAAAAAUGAAGAACCGGGUUGAUUGCUUAUCCUCAUCCUGGUGAUUUGGUCCCCGCAAAAAAAAAGAAUAUGAUUUUGGGCGAAUAGGACCUGACUAGCUUCUAACUCUGCUGAACUGUAUUGAUCAUAGUGUUAAACUAUUUUUUCUUUUGCUCUUCUAAAGGCCAUUUGCAAUGAUUCAUAAUUUGCCAGAGGAGAUGGCUCAGUUGGAAAUUAUGUUCAGUUUCUUUAUUCUUAUGCUAAUUCUCUGUCCAUUUGUAAGACGGCUGGUGAUGUUCAGAAUAAUAAGCGAAGUGCAGAAUGAAAUUAAUGGGGCCGAGAUUAGCGGUUUCCUUUCCUUUUCCCUGGGAAGGCGAAUAGGAAGGCGACUUUGUCCCCUCGAUCUGCCGCCGGCCAGGCCGGUGGUUCCUUCCCUCUCCGUCCGCCGCUCCGGCGAUGGGAGAGGGGCGGGAACCCCAGUCCUGUGCUUCCGGUAUGUAGAUAGUAGGGUAGUGGUUCCAGGAGUUGCCGUCAUGGUGGGGGUGGCGGCGUCGGUGUGGAAUAAAGAUGUUGGUGGUUCCCCCUCAUCCCGGCGAAGCCUUUGCCGGAACCGGCGAACUGUCGGCUUUAGGUGCUCUCGGAUCCUUCGAUAUGGUGAGCUUUGGUGCUCCGAGCAAAGCGCUGGAUCUGCCAGCGCAGGUUUGUGGUCACUGGAUCUUUGCAGGUUCUUCUCCUCAACGGCGAAUUGGUAACGGUGACUACAGUAGACUGUUUAAGCAACUAAGCAACUCAAGUCCCAUGGCGAUUACAAAUCAUGACUGGCUGCUGCACUAUUCUUUAUUUGACGGUCUCUAUGUGGAGGGUUUCAGAACUUUCUCUAGGUGCAGACCGGAUUAGUAGCGGUACACGCUUGCAACUAGCAAAAAUUGCAAGAUGCAGGGUUGCGUUUUCUCUUUCCAAUGCAUGGUAUCUGUUCAGGUGGAUGACCGCUAAUGUAUGUGGGAUAUGGAUGUCUUCAUAUUUGUGGUGGGUACAAGUAAUGUUAAAUUGAAAUUUGAGGCCCUCUUUUCAUUACAACCAGUAGCAAAUUUUAGGUUUUGGUGAGAAGAAAGGUGAACCUAAUGGCUAUAGCACUAUUGAGAAGAAUGUUUCAGUCACUGGAGAAAUUGAGGAACAAAUGAAGUUGAUAGAAGAACAAGCAAUAAAGAUCUAUUAAACAUAUAUAUAUAGAUUGCUUGGCAAUAAAGAUCAACAUAAAAUAGCAUUACUUGUUUUGGGCAUAGCUAAACGUACAAGCUUAAUACUACUGAAAUUCUAAAAUCUAUUUGUAUGUGUUCGAUCAGAAGUAAUGUUUGGUUUUGUUCAUAGGUUGUCCACUGUUUUGUCAUUCCACCUAACUGAUAGAGAUUGUAAUCGGGUCAACAAAUGGCAUACAUUUUUUUCAGGCAGACAAACCUAUUUUGUUGAAAAUCUGAACUUUGUAGUUCAGUAGCUAUCGUGUAGGUGUAUUUCAAUCUUAUGGCUUUUUUUUGCUUGAGAUUCGUAUAUACUGUAAUGAUGUUGAGUUUGUUCACAUUAACCUAUCUUCCUAUUUUGCUGAGCUAUCCACUGAAAUUUGCUUAAUUUCUUCUUGAUUCCUCGUGUUUACUACCACUGUACCACUAGAUUUGAUAUGUUUUUAUUUAGUUCCAUUUAAUAUUGAUUCAACUAUAUUAUGGGUGGCUUUGGCAUUUUUCCCUUACAAUCGCGUGUCUGACGAAUUAUGGGGUGUGCCUCUUUCACACUAAUGUUCGUUGCAAACUAAUCAUGAAAUUCAAUUACUUCAGGUCUUUACUUACAACAUGAUUUACGUCCAAUUCUUUGCUCCUUUUGUUUCAUCACAAAGCAAUGAAGUUUAGUAGCAUAACUUCUAGUACUAUUAAGAAAAUCCAUAUUGAAGGGACUUAAGAUACUUCUAUGUUUAAUUUUGAUGAUAAUGUCGUAAAUAGUUGCUAGACACAGACUAGUUCAAUACGGCGACUCCCACCAUUGAAGCUGGCACAGCUCGAUAAAAGACAUGGUUAGUGAGCAUUUUUAACAAUAGUUACAGAAUUUGGCUUUUUGUCUUGUUUCUCACUAUACUUUUGAUUCACCUGCGGCUAGCAUGUUAUGGUUUCAUGUGAUUGUGAUGAAUUUGGUACAUCCAGAGUCCCACUGUGAUAUCUUUGAUUUCGACAUUAUAUUAUUUUUAGUUCAGGGCAGUGAAGCCUAUUACUCCCUCCGUUCGGAAUUACUUGUCGCAAAAAUGGAUGUAUCUAGACAUAUUUUAGUUCUAAAUACAUCCAUUUCCGGGACAAGUAAUUCCGAACGGAGGGAGUAGUCCUGAAGUGUUAUAUGUGCUUCUGUGAUGGUGGCCACUACCUGUUUGUUGGUAUACUUUCAAGAAUUGAAAAUAUUCUGUUUCAGUAUCUGUUCAAGUGGAUGACGGUUAAUGUACGAGGGAUAGAGAGUCGUGUCUUCAUAUUUAUGAUCGGUAAUUGUAAUGUGCAAUUGAAAUUCAAACCUUCGUUUACUAAUAACCAGUAGCAAAGUUCAGGUUUUGUGAGAAGAAAAGUGAACCAAAGGCUAUAGUACUAUUAAUAGGAUACUGUGUUGCUUCCAGCCCAUGGAUAAGAAUGUUUCAGUCGUUGCAGAGAUAGCUGAACAGAUGAAGUUGGCGUAAAAUCUAUGGUCACCUACUGCUUGAAGAUCAAAUUCGACAGUAUUCAGUUUGCAAAUUCGGUAGCAUUCAAUUUUGUAAUAGAGAUUUCUGAAAAAUAAUAAUCAUGCCGCUGGUUACUUAGUGCUCAGUGGCAUUCAGUUACGUCCAAACGAAUUUUAUUUGUAAGCUUAAUAUGGCUUUUGUUACUACUACAUGGAAUCUAGUAUUUAUUAGACCACUUUAUUAUUCCAUGGUUACCAAAAAUUCCUUGUGGACAAAAUCAACCAGUGACCUAUGUUUCUUACGGUUACUAAAAAUGCCUCCUACAGAAUUGUGAUAGUGGCCUAUGUUACUUAAAUCAAUCACGUACCAUAUUUCAUUUUUAGUAGAGAACCGGUGUACUCAGUCCAAUGUAAACAGCAAUAUAUCUAAGGCAAAAUACCUGAACUAUAGAAACGCAGACUUAUAUCUGAAAAAAAAAUCAAGAACGCCUCACUACUGUAAGAUUACCUGAUUACCAGUAGAAUUACAGCAAGAGGCGCUCUGUGGGUUGCUUGCCGCAAGAGGCGCUCUGUGGGUUGCUUGCCUACAUGACGUAAUAUUUUUUUUAAAUGCCUACAGGAAGUAAUUGACUCACGUGCAAACCGUAAGAUUACCUUGCACUCUUUUCUUUACAGUUGUUUUAGUGCGGAGACCCGUUUCUCAUUCAAAGCUAUAAUAUUACCUCACAAACGUUCUGCUUCUUACUGUCUAUGGUUUUGGACGUGGGAGCACAAGUUGGCUAGGGUGAGGAAUAAGAAUUUCUCACCUAGGGUGACGAAUAUAGGACUCGUCUUCUGUACUCUUGGGAGUUCAAGUUCACCCUGCAUCCCUGACGUAGCGCUACUCCGGCUCCUCCCCCGCUUGCUGCCAGGUCUAUCUCUCCUUCCUCCCCUGCUCGCUAUCCUGUGAGGAGGUGGACGCGGCUACCUGACGGAGUGAAGCCGGCCUCCCGGCACUGGCAGUUGCAAAAAAAAACAUCAAGUUCAGAAUAAGAAAAAUGAGAAGUUCAAGAAGAACAAAGGGACAACCAUGUUGAUCGUGAUUGAAAAAGGAUUAUGAAAUAAUAUUAUUGAGACUGAAGGCCAAGUUUGAUGCAUGAUGUCAAAGGAUUCCAAGUCUUUUUCUGAGGUGGUCGAUGGCUUUCUAGAGAUGCAUUCAUAUCUCACAAGUUUCCAGGGGUUCAAGUUCAUCUAUAUAAGAAGGAAUGCCAAUUUUGUUGCACAUCUGUGUGUGAAAGAGGCACUAAAACUUGAUGUACUUGCUAUUUUUUUUCUUGUAACGCCUACCUACCUGAUUAAGACUAUUCAAUCACAGUUA